rnacentral:rRNA from 1 species
UCAAGUAAUUAAGUGCAUGUGGUGGAUGCCUUGGCAGUCAGAGGCGAUGAAAGACGUGAUAGCCUGCGAAAAGCUCCGGGGAGGCGGCAAAUAUCCUUUGAUCCGGAGAUGUCUGAAUGGGGGAACCCACCUACUUUAAGGUAGGUAUUGCAACAUGAAUACAUAGUGUUGCAAGGCGAACGAGGGGAAGUGAAACAUCUCAGUACCCUUAGGAAAAGAAAUCAAUUGAGAUUCCCUCAGUAGCGGCGAGCGAACGGGGAUCAGCCCAUUAAGUUAUGUGUGUUUUAGUGGAACGCUCUGGGAAGUGCGAACGUAGAGGGUGAUAUUCCCGUACACGAAAGGGCACACAUAAUGAUGACGAGUAGGGCGAGGCACGUGAAACCUUGUCUGAAUAUGGGGGGACCAUCCUCCAAGGCUAAAUACUCCUGACUGACCGAUAGUGAACCAGUACCGUGAGGGAAAGGCGAAAAGAACCCCUGUGAGGGGAGUGAAAUAGAUCCUGAAACCGCAUGCAUACAAGCAGUGGGAGCACCUUCGUGGUGUGACUGCGUACCUUUUGUAUAAUGGGUCAGCGACUUAUAUUCAGUAGCAAGGUUAACCGUAUAGGGGAGCCGUAGAGAAAUCGAGUCUUAAUAGGGCGUUUAGUUGCUGGGUAUAGACCCGAAACCAGGCGAUCUAUCCAUGAGCAGGUUGAAGGUUGGGUAACACUAACUGGAGGACCGAACCCACUGUCGUUGAAAAGCCAGGGGAUGACUUGUGGAUAGGGGUGAAAGGCUAAUCAAGCCUGGUGAUAGCUGGUUCUCCCCGAAAGCUAUUUAGGUAGCGCCUCGGACGAAUACCAUAGGGGGUAGAGCACUGUUUCGGCUAGGGGGUCAUCCCGACUUACCAAACCGAUGCAAACUCCGAAUACCUAUGAGUACUAUCCGGGAGACAGACUGCGGGUGCUAACGUCCGUAGUCAAGAGGAAAACAAUCCAGACCGCCAGCUAAGGCCCCAAAAUCAUAGUUAAGUGGGAAACGAUGUGGGAAGGCAUAGACAGCUAGGAGGUUGGCUUAGAAGCAGCCACCCUUUAAAGAAAGCGUAAUAGCUCACUAGUCGAGUCGGCCUGCGCGGAAGAUGUAACGGGGCUAAAACUAUGUGCCGAAGCUGCGGAUUUGACAUUAGUCAAGUGGUAGGGGAGCGUUCUGUAAGCCGAUGAAGGUGUAUUGAGAAGUNGUCGGCCUGCGCGGAAGAUGUAACGGGGCUAAAACUAUGUGCCGAAGCUGCGGAUGUAUACUUUGUAUACGUGGUAGGGGAGCGUUCUGUAAGCCGAUGAAGGUGUGUUGAGAAGCAUGCUGGAGGUAUCAGAAGUGCGAAUGCUGACGUGAGUAACGACAAAACGGGUGAAAAACCCGUUCGCCGAAAGACCAAGGGUUCCAGUCCAACGUUAAUCGGGGCUGGGUGAGUCGACCCCUAAGGCGAGGCCGAAAGGCGUAGUCGAUGGGAAAAUGGUUAAUAUUCCAUUACUUCUGUGUAAUGCGAUGAGAGGACGGAGAAGGCUAAAUCAGCCUGGCGUUGGUUGUCCAGGUGAAAGGAUGUAGGCAUGUAUCUUAGGCAAAUCCGGGGUACUCUAUGCUGAGAUCUGAUAGCAAGCUGUACUUGUACAGCGAAGUGGUUGAUGCCAUGCUUCCAGGAAAAGUCUCUAAGCUUCAGUUACACAGGAAUCGUACCCGAAACCGACACAGGUGGUCAGGUCGAGUAGACCAAGGCGCUUGAGAGAACUCUGCUGAAGGAACUAGGCAAAAUGGUACCGUAACUUCGGGAGAAGGUACGCUGUUGUUGGUGAUGGAACUCGCUUCCUGAGCUGACGACAGCCGCAGAAACCAGGCCGCUGCAACUGUUUAUUAAAAACAUAGCACUCUGCAAACACGAAAGUGGACGUAUAGGGUGUGAUGCCUGCCCGGUGCUGGAAGGUUAAUUGAUGGGGUUAGCGUAAGCGAAGCUCUUGAUCGAAGCCCCAGUAAACGGCGGCCGUAACUAUAACGGUCCUAAGGUAGCGAAAUUCCUUGUCGGGUAAGUUCCGACCUGCACGAAUGGCAUAAUGAUGGCGGCGCUGUCUCCAGCAGAGGCUCAGUGAAAUCGAAAUCGCUGUGAAGAUGCAGUGUACCCGCGGCUAGACGGAAAGACCCCGUGAACCUUUACUGCAGCUUGACACUGAACUUUGACCUUACUUGUGUAGGAUAGGUGGGAGGCUUUGAAGCUGGAACGCUAGUUCCAGUGGAGCCGUCCUUGAAAUACCACCCUGGUAAUGUUGAGGUUCUAACUCUGUCCCGUGAUCCGGGACGAGGACCGUGUCUGGUGGGUAGUUUGACUGGGGCGGUCUCCUCCUAAAGAGUAACGGAGGAGUACGAAGGUGCGCUCAGCGUGGUCGGAAAUCACGCGUAGAGUAUAAAGGCAAAAGCGCGCUUAACUGCGAGACCCACAAGUCGAGCAGGUACGAAAGUAGGUCUUAGUGAUCCGGUGGUUCUGUAUGGAAGGGCCAUCGCUCAACGGAUAAAAGGUACUCUGGGGAUAACAGGCUGAUACCGCCCAAGAGUUCAUAUCGACGGCGGUGUUUGGCACCUCGAUGUCGGCUCAUCUCAUCCUGGGGCUGAAGCAGGUCCCAAGGGUAUGGCUGUUCGCCAUUUAAAGAGGUACGCGAGCUGGGUUUAGAACGUCGUGAGACAGUUCGGUCCCUAUCUACCGUGGGCGCUGGAAAUUUGAGAGGAUCUGCUCCUAGUACGAGAGGACCAGAGUGGACGAACCUCUGGUGUACCGGUUGUGACGCCAGUCGCAUCGCCGGGUAGCUAUGUUCGGAAGGGAUAACCGCUGAAAGCAUCUAAGCGGGAAGCCUACCUCAAGAUAAGAUUUCCCUAGGACUUUAUGUCCUCUAAAGAGCCGUUCGAGACUAGGACGUUGAUAGGUUGGAUGUGGAAGCAUAGUGAUAUGUGAAGCUGACCAAUACUAAUUGCUCGUGAGGCUUGACUAU